rnacentral:lncRNA from 1 species
ACUUCGUCGACGCUACAAGGACCCGCCAAGCUUACCUCACCACAAAGGUUAGUGCUUUAGCUAAUCUCGCCCAAACCCAUCAAAAUAUCGACGUCAAAUCGUUCGACAUUGCGGUUAAUCAGACCCAGAACCAGACCAAUCCGACCCAGAGCCAAACCAAUAUGACCCAGAACCAAAUCAACCAGACCAAUCCGACCCAGAGACAAACCAAUAUGACCCAGAACCAAAUCAAUGCGAGCCAGUUCAAAACCCACUUGGAUUCUCAGAACCCAGUUAAUUUUUCCCAAUCUGGACCAGUUUCUGCCC